rnacentral:rRNA from 1 species
AUUGAACGCUGGCGGCAGGCCUAACACAUGCAAGUCGGGCGAGCGGCGGACGGGUGAGUAAUGUAUGGGGACUGCCUGAUGGCGGGGGAUAACUACUGGAAACUGUAGCUAAUACCGCAUACCAUCAGAUAACCAAUAUGGGAGUAGCUAGGAGGUAAGGUAACGGCGUACCUAGGCGAGGAUCCCUAGCUGGUGUGAGAGGAUAAUACCCCCCACUGGGACUGGGACACGGCCCAGACGCGAUCAAUAUCACCAAUUAACAAUAUUGCACAAUGCGCGCAAGCCUGAGACAGCCAUGCCGCGUGUAUGAAGAAUACCUUCGGGUUAUAAAGUACUUUCAGUCGGGAGGCGUUACCGACAGAAGAAGCACCGGCUAACUCCGUGCCAGCAGCCGCGGUAAUUC